rnacentral:rRNA from 1 species
GCUAAGUGUUAGAGGGUUUCCGCCCUUUAGUGCUGCAGCAAACGCAUUAAGCACUCCGCCUGGGGAGUACGGCCGCAAGGCUGAAACUCAAAGGAAUUGACGGGGGCCCGCACAAGCGGUGGAGCAUGUGGUUUAAUUCGAAGCAACGCGAAGAACCUUACCAGGUCUUGACAUCCUCUGACAAUCCUAGAGAUAGGACUUUCCCCUUCGGGGGACAGAGUGACAGGUGGUGCAUGGUUGUCGUCAGCUCGUGUCGUGAGAUGUUGGGUUAAGUCCCGCAACGAGCGCAACCCUUGAUCUUAGUUGCCAGCAUUCAGUUGGGCACUCUAAGGUGACUGCCGGUGACAAACCGGAGGAAGGUGGGGAUGACGUCAAAUCAUCAUGCCCCUUAUGACCUGGGCUACACACGUGCUACAAUGGAUGGUACAAAGGGCUGCAAGACCGCGAGGUUUAGCCAAUCCCAUAAAACCAUUCUCAGUUCGGAUUGCAGGCUGCAACUCGCCUGCAUGAAGCCGGAAUCGCUAGUAAUCGCGGAUCAGCAUGCCGCGGUGAAUACGUUCCC